rnacentral:lncRNA from 1 species
UCCCUGAUGUCAACUUCGGGGCCCUUGAGGUCGCCUUCCACUUUGGGCAGAGAAAUGUCCAUGUCGCCCUUCACCUUUGGACCUUUCAGAUUCAGGUCAACUUCAGGCAUAGAGAUCUUCGGUGCCUUGAGGUGCAGGUCAGGCAUUUUAAAUUUGGGGCCCUUCAGUUUCCCUUCUGGACCAUGAAUAUCAAUAUCAGGAGUGUCAAUGUCCACUUUGGGUCCUGAGACAUCAAUGUCAGCCUUGGGCAGGUUCACAUCCACAUCUGGGCCCUCUCCUUUGAAGCCAGGCAUGCUGAACUUGGGCAUUUUCACCUUGGGCAUCUUCAGGUGCCAGUCUGGGCCAUGAACCUCCACAUCUGGUGCAUUAAUAUCAACUUUGGGGCCUUUGAUGUCAACAUCAGGAGCUUUUAUCUCUCCU